rnacentral:rRNA from 1 species
CCCUUAGUAACGGCGAGCGAAGUGGGAAUGUUUUUGUGCCCAGGUCUGUAAUCUCCGUUCGGUCCCAUGCUCGGACGGCGAAUUGUGGUCUGGAGAGACGUACUGUUCCGUUGUCACCGCUCCCAGGGCCCCAAGUCGACUUGGAACGGCGUGCCAGAGAGGGUGAGAGCCCCGUAGGGCCUAGAAACCGGGAGAGGCGGGACGAGGGUGCGUUCUCGCAGAGUCGGGUUGUUUGGGAUUGCAGCCUAAAUAGGGUGGUAGACUCCAUCCAAGGCUAAACACGGGCGCGAGUCCGAUAGAUGACAAGUACCGUGAGGGAAAGGUGAAAAGCACUUUGAAGAGAGAGUUCAAUAGAGCGUGAAACCGUUGGGAGGGAAGCUCAGGGUGCCGAGGCGGUAGAGGUCGUUGGAAUUCAGUUCGGUCGCGAAAGCGACGGAGUGCAUUUUCUUUCGGUCUUGGUAACCGUCAGCGAGAGUUUAGCCGGUCGGUUUUCUGCGGAGAGGGAGGUGGCGGCUUUCGGGACCUUCGGGCGGCGGAAACCGUUCGUAUAGCCUCGCCGCAGGAGCGAUUUGGCGAAUCUUUGGUGCGAAUUUCGAGCGUCGUUCGCUCGACUGGUAAGGUGCGGUCCUCUCGAGAGGAGCGGGAUUCGUUCUUCGGUSGUUGCCGAGCGAAAUUUCGUGUUCAGCGUUGGAGUUCGCUUCAUCGUUGUGCAGUUUUGGAGCUUUGGCGACUUUCGACGGUUCGUUUGCCACGUUACCGCGCCCAGGUCGUUGGCGUCGAGUCGGUCCCCUGUGCCCCGUCUUGAAACACGGACCAAGGAGUGCAAGAGGCACGCGAGUCCUGCGGGUUGGUCGUUCGACUAGUUUCGAGCGCACUCGAAAACCCAGAGGUAGGCGAAGCGAGAGCAAGUUCCGGUAGCGUCCGGUGGGUGCGAGAGCUGGUUUCCCUCGGGAAGCGAGCGCAUCGCGGACCGAGCCGUUGGUCACUCCGUGGCCGGCUUCGAGUGAGAGCGCGUCUGUUGCGACCCGAAAGAUGGUGAACUAUGCCCGAGGAGGGUGAAGCCAGGGGAAACUCUGGUGGAGGCCCGCAGCGGUUCUGACGUGCAAAUCGAUCGUGGCACUUGGGUAUAGGGGCGAAAGACUAAUCGAACC